GCCCGAGUGGUGAAAUCGGUAGACACAAGGGAUUAAGGGAUUUAAAAUCCCUCGCUUUUCGAAGCGUGCCAGUUCAAGUCUGGCCUCGGGCACCA
rnacentral:tRNA from 1 species